rnacentral:rRNA from 1 species
ACCUACGGGGGGCAGCAGUAGGGAAUCUCCCACAAUGGGCGAAAGCCUGAUGGAGCAACGCCGCGUGGGUGAAGAAGGUCUUCGGAUCGUAAAACCCUGUUGUUAGAGAAGAAAGUGCGUGAGAGUAACUGUUCACGUUUCGACGGUAUCUAACCAGAAAGCCACGGCUAACUACGUGCCAGCAGCCGCGGUAAUACGUAGGUGGCAAGCGUUAUCCGGAUUUAUUGGGCGUAAAGGGAACGCAGGCGGUCUUUUAAGUCUGAUGUGAAAGCCUUCGGCUUAACCGGAGUAGUGCAUUGGAAACU